ensembl:lncRNA
UCUGCGUGUCUCUCCGGAUGCGUGAGGGUGGGAGGGUUUUGCGGGGCCUGGUGCCCUCUGGAUAUCGGGUGGAGGGAAAUGCCUCCUCAGGCCCCGGGUCCAUUUUGCCUCCUCAGGCCCCGGGUCCAUUUUUCGACGGGGUGUCGGGUGUGUUUAUGUGCUUCUUUACUCACUUAUUUCCUGGGGGCUGGGUUGUUUCCGUGGUUGAGCUGGGAAUAGGGAAGCCCCAUCCCGACCUGGGCUUUGGGGCCCGGGUCGGGUGACUGCGCGUCGUGCAGGGAAGGCGGGACAGAGGUGAGAGCGGGGUGAGCCGCCGCGCCCUCCCGGUGUGCCUUCUCCCAGGAGGUCUCCUGAACCUCCGCCUUUGGCUUUCCCUGUGAGCCGCUUUGGUUCUGGCCAAACACCUGGUAUGAAGAGCUGCUCUCGAGCCAGCUCGGGCCAUCGCAGGCCGGUAGCACGAGAGCAGGAAAGACCUCCCGGAGGUCCCUCCAGGCUCCCUGGGGAAAAGGUCUGUCUGGGUCGCUGGGGCCAGCUUGGCACCCUCUGUGGCUGGCCGACCCUCGAGGGCGGGCGACCGACGCUCGCCUCAGGUGGGGUCCAUAAAGCAAGAGAGAACGAGGGAAGGAGAGACAGGGACAGGGACAGGGACAGGGACAGGGACGGGGACGGGGACAGGAAGGAAGGAAGCAAGGAAGCCAGAACGAAACCAGAAGGGAAAGAAUCACGAGUUUAUUAUUGGACGACCGAAGGAAUACCACUUGGAAACGCAAGGCAAGAGCAAGAGCUCCAUAUAUACACACACGCGCGCGGGGCCCUCCAUAGCCCAGGGCAGGCCCGUCUGAGCAAGGGCCACCCUGUCCUGACAGGAUGGGUCCGGAGCUGACGGGGUGGUGGGGGGGAUGUGGGUGGAACGGAGGGGCUUGGGGCAGGUGGGCCUGAGGGCUCUGAGAGCCUCUGAGCGAGAAGGAGCCCCCUUGGACAGGUUCUUCUUGGGAGUUCCCUCAAGGGGAGGGAGAGAACCCACCCAGCCCCGGGCCCAGGGCCCAGGGCCCAGGCCCCAGGCAGCCGCGGGGGCCUGCUGAGCCAGAGCGAGGAGGAACCCCUGGGACUUGCUGUUCGAGCAGAUGUCCACAAGGCGGCGCCAGAGGACCUCGCCGCCCCAGGUGCGCUCUGCCCAGGUGGCAGGAGCAGGCUCGGAGGUGGGGCGGUGGGGGGGCUGGGCGGAACCCCCCCCCCCCCGCCCCGCACGGCAAGCACCCCGAGGACCGGCUUUGUGCUCUGGGCCCCUGGGGCGAGGGCAAGGUCCUUCUGGCCUGGGGAGACGAGCCGCCCUUUGCAGUUCGGCGCGAGGGCGGGCAGGCCUCCCCGACACCAGGUUCGAGGAAUGAAGCCGCCUUGAUGCGUUCCACCGGGAAGGCUCUCAGCGAGUUCUCUCGGGGCUGCCAGGCGGAAGCGUCUCUGUCUGUCACUGCGGUGUCUGCGGUAAGUGCCGCUUUGGGAGAGCAACCCCUGGCCAGACAACAUCCCAGGUGGCACGUGGCACCCAGGUAAACUGAGCCAUACGACGUCCUUUGGAGCCCAGGACCUCAGCGCGCACAGAGCCCACCCAGGCAGGCAGACAGCCAUGCCUGCGGAGGAGCCGAGGUUAUGGGUAGCGAAGGCAGUAAGAAGGGGCCUCCGGGCACGACACCUCCGCUGGCAGAGGGUUUUCAGGAGGGGCCUGGGCUUGUCAGAGCAGCGGCCAGCGUUCGAUUCCCGGCCAGAUGCUGCUGGCCAUCUCCUACUCUGGUCCGCGCCGCGUCGCUAAAGGGUUUUGUUUUUCCUCCUUCUUCUUUUUUAUUUCCUGCUCCUUCUUCUCCCUCUUGUUCUUCUUCGUCUCUCUC